UACGGGGGGGGCAAGCGUUGUUCGGAAUUACUGGGCGUAAAGGGCUCGUAGGCGGCCAACUAAGUCGGAUGUGAAAUCCCCAGGCUUAACCUGGGAACUGCAUCCGAUACUGGAUGGCUUGAAUCCGGGAGAGGUGAGUGGAACUGCGAGUGUAGAGGUGAAAUUCGUAGAUAUUCGCAAGAACACCAGCGGCGAAGGCGGCUCACUGGCCCGGUACUGACGCUGAGGUGCGAAAGCGUGGGGAGCAAACAGG
rnacentral:rRNA from 1 species